rnacentral:rRNA from 1 species
GUCAGAUGUGAAAGACCCGGGGCGUCAACCUCGGAAUUGCAUUUGAAACUGGCAAACUAGAGUACUGUAGAGGGGGGUAGGAAUUUCAGGUGUAGCGGUGAAAUGCGUAGAGAUCUGAAGGAAUACCGGUGGCGAAGGCGGCCCCCCUCGGACAGAUACUGACACUCAGAUGCGAAAGCGUGGGGAGCAAACAGGAUUAGAUACCCCUGGUAG